rnacentral:rRNA from 1 species
UACAGAGGUGCCGAGCGUUAGGCGGAAUCACUGGGCUUAAAGCGUGUGUAGGCGGACUUCUAAGUACCUUGUGAAAUCCCACGGCUCAACCGUGGAACUGCUCGGUAUACUGGUUGUCUUGAGCCACUUAGGGGCAGUCGGAACAAACGGUGGAGCGGUGAAAUGCGUAGAUAUCGUUUGGAACGCCAAUGGUGAAAACAGGUAGCUGGGGAUGUGCCGACGCUGAGACACGAAAGCCAGGGGAGCAAACGGG